rnacentral:rRNA from 1 species
AGUGGGGAAUCUUAGACAAUGGGGGAAACCCUGAUCUAGCCAUGCCGCGUGAGCGAUGAAGGCCUUAGGGUUGUAAAGCUCUUUCAGCCGGGAAGAUAAUGACGGUACCAGCAGAAGAAGCCCCGGCUAACUCCGUGCCAGCAGCCGCGGUAAUACGGAGGGGGCUAGCGUUGUUCGGAAUUACUGGGCGUAAAGCGCGCGUAGGCGGGCUGUUAAGUCGGGGGUGAAAUCCCGGGGCUCAACCCCGGAACUGCCUUCGAUACUGGCAGCCUAGAGGUCGAGAGAGGUGAGUGGAAUUCCGAGUGUAGAGGUGAAAUUCGUAGAUAUUCGGAGGAACACCAGUGGCGAAGGCGGCUCACUGGCUCGAUACUGACGCUGAGGUGCGAAAGUGUGGGGAGCAAACAGGAUUAGAUACCCUGGUAGUCCACACCGUAAACGAUGAAUGCCAGACGUCGGGCAGCAUGCUGUUCGGUGUCACACCUAACGGAUUAAGCAUUCCGCCUGGGGAGUACGGCCGCAAGGUUA